CCAUGAUGAAAACAAAAUGCAGGUUAGGGACAGAAGGUUGUUUGAGUGUAGAAACAGAGUCGUUUACAUUGAAUAAAUCUGACACAAAUUUAGAACAUAUUAAACAGUGGUGAAAUGGUCAUUUCCCUUGCAAAAUAGACAUAAAACAAUAUUUCAAAUUUUAUAUCAGUUUCUUGAGACGAUGGAUGGUCAGGGAAGUUGGCUGUAGCCAAUCAAAAGCAAAAGAUAGUGUCACUAGAUUGUUGCCUAGAAGCAUUUCCAUUACAAUGGUUUCUAAGCAACAUUGAUGGGUUAGUUAAACAACACAUAAAAUAUUCAGACAGUGUUUCCAAAAGGGAGAAAAAAUCAGUAGUCUCAUCCACUUACGUCAACGGUUCCAGGUUCUCAUGCAAGAAACCAAGAAGUCAGCAAAAUCAGGAAAUCCAUUAAGACGAUCAGAGACACCGAAACUUUCCAAUUUAUCCACCAAAGAAAGCUGCUCCACCCUUCUGACCCAACCUUCUUCAGCACCAUAAUGGGAUGUGGCGACCAGAAAUGCAUACAGUAUUUCCGGGGAUGGGCUUUUGAUGAUGCAUGUCAGGAAUUAAGAAGAAAUAUAUAUGUUCAAGAAUGGCUCUGAUCUUCAAGGCAUUACAGCCGUACUGUAUUUACAGGAUAGAGCAUGCGAAAGAUUAUUUCUCAAAGACACUCACACUCGUGGAUGCAGUCUCACCGUCAGCCACGUCUUCUUCAAACCCAAGGACAACUCUACCAGAGCACCAGAGCAAAGUACAAGAAUGAAAUAUGCAAUAUCACAUUCUACAAUUCCUGUCAACAGGCACAUUGGUUAUUUGUAUCUGUCAUUUAACAGCACAAAACAUUAUGUACUUACAUAUUCAGACUUUUUGUAAAACAAGUGCUCUCUGAUUUUUGAAUCUGAGAUUGGAGACAAUCUUUGAUCCUUAUGUUUAAUAUAAUAUUAAUUUGAAAUGUUUAAUAUUUUAAAUGCUAAGAAAUUUCAUCAUUUCACUUGGGACUGCUGAAAAGAGUAAGGUAAUUAGGAGGAAUUUUUAAGAUGAGAUCUAAGACUACUUUUUGCUUGA